GUAACAAGGUUUCCGUAGGUGAACCUGCGGAAGGAUCAUUACCAGACCAAGACCACAUCCAGGAAACACGGCAGGGCGUGGGGUAGCCCGUCCGCAUUCGCGCCUCCCGGGACUGGCGGGGGCCCGAGACCCAAGGGAGCGGGGUUGGAGCGCCCGAAUCGGCUAACACCCGAGGAGGCGCGCUCGCCCGGCGCCCGUCCCCUUCACCGCCGGGAGGCCAGUUUCCAACGCCAGCUCUCUGAGUACAUCUCCACUGUUGCUUCCCCGGGGGUUCAUUCUCCCCCGGGGAAGGUCCCCGAGCAAGACGCGGCCGCCAAACCCACCGGCUGCCCCUCCGUCUGACGGCCAGCGCGCCGCUGAUGAAGCGGCAGCGACCGACGAAGCUAGAACUAGGAAAAGGAAGAAAACUUUCAACAACGGAUCUCUUGGUUCCCGCAUCGAUGAAGAACGCAGCGAAAUGCGAUAAGUAAUGUGAAUUGCAGAAUUCAGUGAAUCAUCGAAUCUUUGAACGCACAUUGCGCCCCCUGGCAUUCCGGGGGGCAUGCCUGUUCGAGCGUCUCUGUGAAGAACACCCUCGCGCACGGUGGAUGCGCGGUCUUGGCGGCGGUGGCGUGCCCGACGCGGCGGCCACCGGGCUGGAAUGAAUGGGCGGACGCCUGCCGCGUGGCCGAGCGUGAUAAGGCGAAGGUGCGCCGGCGCUGCGGCGAGGCUGCCAGCCCUCGCCCGUCCUCGUUCGGACGGGAGAGAGGAAGACAUCGGAACUCCUCGAAUCAGGCAGUAACCGACA
rnacentral:rRNA from 1 species